rnacentral:rRNA from 1 species
GAUGAACGCUGGCGGCGUGCCUAAUACAUGCAAGUCGAGCGAACGGACGAGAAGCUUGCUUCUCUGAUGUUAGCGGCGGACGGGUGAGUAACACGUGGAUAACCUACCUAUAAGACUGGGAUAACUUCGGGAAACCGUAGCUAAUACCGGAUAAUAUUUUGAACCGCAUGGUUCAAAAGUGAAAGACGGUCUUGCUGUCACUUAUAGAUGGAUCCGCGCUGCAUUAGCUAGUUGGUAAGGUAACGGCUUACCAAGGCAACGAUGCAUAGCCGACCUGAGAGGGUGGUCGGCCACACGGGAGCUGAGACACGGUCCAGACUCCUACGGUAGGCAGCAGUAGGGAAUCUGCCGCAAUGGGCGAAAGCCUGACGGAGCAACGCCGCGUGAGUGAUGAAGGUCUUCGGAUCGUAAAACUCUGUUAUUAGGGAAGAACAUAUGUGUAAGUAACUGUGCACAGCUUGACGGUACCUAAUCAGAAAGCCACGGCUAACUACGUG